rnacentral:lncRNA from 1 species
CCUUGCUUCAGACCCAAGGAGAACCAGUAUCUCCCUGUCAGUACCCAUUGCCAGCUCUUCUGCUGCAGCAUGGGCAGCACUCGUCUUCCUCAUGUAGCACACGGGCUUCUCUGGUCCACAGCAUUGUGAUAACAGUCAUGCUGCAGCAAGCAAGCAAGCAAGAGACAUGAGGCACAGUACCCAGUUUGUUUUCCUUUCUCCCUGCUUAAAUUUUCUCAUCACCUUAUCUCCUCUGCCAGGUAAUUUGAGAUAAUCAGCAAAGCUUUUCUGCUGUUGUUGAUCUAUUCCAAUCUUUCUCAUGUCUUUUUUUUUUUUUUUUUUUUUUUGGCAAACAGUGCCCUGUCUCAUUUGCCUCAUUUCUUUUCAUGUAAUACUUUGAAGGGAGAAAGCUCUGUUCUUCCACGGCAGAGGAGUGAAAACUGGCUGUAACCACUGUCAGCGUCCACUGGCAUGUGCUGGAGAAGCAGAGCUACUGCCAGCCAUUGAAGAUUCAUGAUCCCAACUGAAUGGAAGGACCUUGAGUGUAGUCUAGGUGAGAAGAGAAAGAGACUGGCUGAUAGAGGACAAAUAUAGUUGACAACAGGCAUGCCGCACUGGAGACUGUAAUGGAAAAAGAGGCAGAGGAUGGAGUAGCAAAAUAAUCAACCAAUAUGGAGUGGUUAUAUUGCCAGCCCUUGGUCCCUGGUGCUAAAUCCGACCAUGAAGACUUGAACUCAGAGGACAUUCUGUGAAAAAGUCCACUGGCUGUCCUUCAUGCCAGGAUAGGUGUUACUUCCAGAAUCCAGCAAGAGAAGGCCUCAUUGAAGCCAAGGAGCCAGUCUCACACCUGUAUGGAGCUCAGCAUGGCUGGAGAAAGCCUGCCUCUGCAGAGGAUUGCCCUUCUAUUGACAGCAUGAUCCUGAGCAGACUUUCAUUGAAAAAGCUUGCUUACGUGCCAAGGAAUUAGAUACACCUCAGAAAAUUUUCCUGAUGCUGAAGCUGUUUGGCCUGCAAUGCCCUGAUGCCAUUUAACAACACACUCCUUUCCUCUGGAAAGGACUCCAG